UCCAACCACCUGGCCAUCCAUACCCCCAUCUGUGUAUCCAUCUCCCAAUUCCUUCAUUCCUUCAUCCAUCCAUUCAUUCAUUUUCCUGCCAUCCAGCAGAGCCAGGGUCCUGACUCCACACACCCUGUACCUGAUCUGAGGCAGCUGGUGACACCACGCGUAGCCUGGAAUGUUCUGUUCCCCGACUGACCCCGUGCCAUUGAAGUCAGGGACUGUGGACAGAAUGCCUUCUCUAUAUCUCCAUUCUUCAACAUCUGGCUCAGACCACACCUUUGCCCUGAACACAGAACCAAAAGGACUUCUCACUGCUCCAAUAUAGAGCAUUUUAGCUGAACUUCCUUGUGAAGCUUAUUUCAGCCCACCUGUGUCAACUGAGGAGUGCACCGCCCUUCCCCUGGAGCUGGGUCCUAGCCCCAGGCCUGUGGCCGAAUGCCAGGAAGAGCAGGAGUGUAUUCCAGCACCUUGACUUGGUUUACCCUGAGUUCCAGCCCCAGCCUCAUCUCCCACUGCACCCCAACUGAAUCUUCACCUGCAGUUCCCUGGCCCACCCAGGGAACUUUCUCAUCUCUCUGCCUUUGCUCACGCCGUCCCUUCUGCUCACCACUGAAGACUCGGCUCCCCAUGAAGUCUUUCUUGUCUCUCCAACU